GUAAAGCGCACGCAGGCGGUCAAUUAAGUCAGAUGUGAAAGCCCCGAGCUUAACUUGGGAAUUGCAUCUGAAACUGGUUGGCUAGAGUCUUGUAGAGGGGGGUAGAAUUCCAUGUGUAGCGGUGAAAUGCGUAGAGAUGUGGAGGAAUACCGGUGGCGAAGGCGGCCCCCUGGACAAAGACUGACGCUCAGGUGCGAAAGCGUGGGGAGCAAACAGGAUUAGAUACCCUGGUAGUCCACGCUGUAAACGAUGUCGAUUUAGAGGUUGUGGUCUUGAACCGUGGCUUCUGGAGCU
rnacentral:rRNA from 1 species